UACAGAGGGUGCAAGCGUUGUUCGGAAUUAUUGGGCGUAAAGCGCGUGUAGGCGGCUUUGCAAGUCGGGUGUGAAAGCCCUCAGCUCAACUGAGAAAGUGCGCCCGAAACUGCAGAGCUCGAGUGCCGAAGAGGGUGGCGGAAUUCCCCAAGUAGAGGUGAAAUUCGUAGAUAUGGGGAGGAACACUAGGUGGCGAAGGCGGCCGUCCUG
rnacentral:rRNA from 1 species